UCCGUAGGUGAACCUGCGGAAGGAUCAUUAGUGAAAUUGUAGUCUUCGGACUCUCCUUCUCUAUCCAUUACCAACACCUGUGCACCGUUGUGUGAGCAAUCACACAACACAUUAUUGACAAGAGUUAUUAAGCUUCGGCAGAAAGCCUUGUUCAACUAUCAAUAUUAACAAUGUUAUAAGAAUGUAUUAUGUACUUGUUGUAAUGACAAGGACAACCUAAUAAAACUUUCAACAACGGAUCUCUUGGCUCUGGCAUCGAUGAAGAACGCAGCGAAAUGCGAUAAGUAAUGUGAAUUGCAGAAUUCAGUGAAUCAUCGAAUCUUUGAACGCACCUUGCACCCUUUGGUAUUCCGAAGGGUAUGCCUGUUUGAGUGUCAUGAAUACCUCAACCCCUAAUAGUUUUAUUACGAAAGGCGUGUUGGUCUUGAGCGUUUGCCGGUCUAGUAUCGGCUCGCUUUAAAUUCAUUAGCUGGAUCCACCUUGACCUGGUUCUACUCGGCGUAAUAAGUUAUUAUCGUCGAGGAUAGUCUUUUCGGAGGCUAGCCACAGUAAUGGUGCUUGAGCCGCUUCUAAUACGUUAGCUGCUUGCAGCAACACUUUUAAGCUCUGACCUCAAAUCAGGUAGGAUUACCCGCUGAACUUAAGCAUAUCAAUAAGCGGAGGAAAAGAAACUAACAAGGAUUCCCCUAGUAACGGCGAGUGAAGCGGGAAAAGCUCAAAUUUGAAAUCUGGCGUCCUUCGGGCGUCCGAAUUGUAAUCUAGAGAAGCGUUUUCCACGCUACCCAACGUAUAAGUGCCUUGGAACAGGCUGUCAUAGAGGGUGAGAAUCCCGUCCUUUACGUUGAUCAGUAGUGUUUUGUGAUACGUUUUCUAAGAGUCGAGUUGUUUGGGAAUGCAGCUCAAAAUGGGUGGUAAAUUCCAUCUAAAGCUAAAUAUUGGCCAGAGACCGAUAGCGAACAAGUACCGUGAGGGAAAGAUGAAAAGCACUUUGAAAAGAGAGUCAAACAGUACGUGAAAUUGUUGAAAGGGAAACGCUUGAAGUCAGUCGCGUCUACUAGAACUCAGCCUUGCUUUUGCUUGGUGCACUUUCUAGCUGACGGGUCAACAUCAGUUUUGACCGGUGGAUAAAGGUAGGAGGAACGUGGCUUCUUCGGAAGUGUUAUAGCCUCUUAUUGUAUACAUCGAUUGGGACUGAGGUCUGCAGCAUGCUCUCACGAGCCGGGGUUCGCCCACGUACAUGCUUAGGAUGUUGGCAUAAUGGCUUUAAGCGACCCGUCUUGAAACACGGACCAAGGAGUCUAACAUAUCUGCGAGUAUUUGGGUGUCAAACCCGAGUGCGCAAUGAAAGUGAAUGCAGGUGGGAAGCGCAAGCUGCACCAUCGACCGGUCUGGAUUUUUAAUGAUGGAUCUGAGUAAGAGCAUAUAUGUUGGGACCCGAAAGAUGGUGAACUAUGCCUGAAUAGGGCGAAGCCAGAGGAAACUCUGGUGGAGGCUCGUAGCGAUUCUGACGUGCAAAUCGAUCGUCAAAUUUGGGUAUAGGGGCGAAAGACUAAUCGAACCAUCUAGUAGCUGGUUCCUGCCGAAGUUUCCCUCAGGAUAGCAGAGACUCGCAUCAGUUUUAUGUGGUAAAGCGAAUGAUUAGAGGCCUGGGGGUUGAAACAACCUUCACCUAUUCUCAAACUUUAAAUAUGUAAGAAGUCCUUGUUACUUAAUUGAACGAGG
rnacentral:sRNA from 2 species